rnacentral:lncRNA from 10 species
CUGACAGCUCAAAAACCUAACUUGUUUUCUGAUUCCUCAGCUGUGACAGGUUGGUGGCGGUGUAUUUUUCACUUCAGAAGCUAAGAACUUUUGCUAGAAUAUGGAGGCCAGAGUAACUGGGCUUUAAUGCUAGAUUCUGCACAGAGAAGACAAAGGAAAAAACAAGAUGAAAUAUUUGGCAGAAUGCUGAAGAUGUGUUCCCAUGAGUUCCUGCCUCCUUGUACCCCACUGAGUGGAAUGUUAAAAAUACGGAGAAAGCAAUUUCUACAGAUGCAGUCCCACCUCUGGCCAUGGCCAAAAUUAGCUGGAUAAUUCUUUGAAUCUGGCUAAUGUGGAAUCUUGCAAGGACAAAGAGGAUUUGCUCACGAACUGGAGCUAACUUCCUCUUAUAGUCUAUCCUCUGUGGAUUUGUGAGUCCACACAUUUUUACCUGUACAUGAACUUGGCUAUGAAUGUGCCUUGCCAAGGAUUACACUUGUUCAUCAUCACCAUGAGAGACAUUCCAGGGAGAUGAACGUGGUGGGAUGCAGGAAAGAAACACCUUCCUGGUAGAUGAUGGCAAAAUACAAUAGUAAGCAAGGGAAGAAUUAUCAUACCAAAUCAAUGAGGAUAUUUGCUGCCAAAGGCUUAGGCAUGGAGGCCAACUGGAUUCUCAUCCAUGACCCUGAUAGGACAUCCUGAACCCCAUUUAUGUUGUUUUAAGAGUG